rnacentral:lncRNA from 1 species
UUUUUAUAAAAAAAUAUAAAUAUAGUGAUUUGGCUAUCACUAAACCCAACAAAUACUUCUUUAAAAAAUAGUGCAUUUGCUCAAUUUACAAGGUCCCUACAUAAAAUAGAAGUUGUACAUUUCAUUCAGCCACUAGGCAACUAGUUCUGAGCUAUUGGAAACACAAAGCUGGAAAACCAGCUAGCUAUUAGACCUCCAACAUGAUAGCAUUUUAUAUUGACAUGGUGUGGAUCAAGCUGGUUGCCUUCCCACACAUGCAAAAAUAGAGGGAUACAAACGUCCUGUACUUGAGUUGAGAAUGUGGUUCCAUUUGAUCUGAACUGUGAGUAGCUGACAUUGUGAGUCAAGCUGCAAAUCACAAAAAGGAACAAUAAAAUCCUAAAAGUUUGAGACAGAGACCCAUACACAGCAAACGAUACAUAAUUUAUGCAUUUUCUUUGGGGAUGCUUUAUAAUCUCAAAUUAAAAAGAAAAAACGGAAGAAUAAAGUUUCACUCAUCUGUGUAUGAGAAAUUAUUAAGAUUAAUAAGAAACCAACAUUCAAUAUGCAUACAACUAAGGCACCACCUUUAUAUAAUUAUGAAGCCUUUAUUAUUUGCAUCAUCAAAAAGAGAAUCAUUUGUUAAUGAUAGAGACAAAAGGAGGAGAAUGAAAUUAAAUAUUAAGAACAAACUUUUUAUCUUCGUUCUAACUAUAAUCAAUUGGAUUUGGGGGUUUUCAAAGAAUUCAUAGAGGUAGAUGUUGAAUCCAUAGAGGUAGAUUUAUACCAGAAAAGCAGAGUCACUGUAAGUGAAUUCUCAUAAUUCCAGCUGAUUGAAAAUAUAGAAAUAAAAAAAUCAUGCGACUAGAAAAGUACUGAGUAACAGAUUCAUCCAAAUGAGGUUUACACAACUAAACUUAGAUUUUAUGAGCUAAAAGAAAAUGAUCCACAAAUAAGUCACUCGUUAGUCAACCAUUACAGGAGUAAGUUUUUUUUAGCACAAAAACCCCCACCAAAAUUAGAAUUUUGCAAAGUCAGGGUCUUUUUUUAGUUAAAAAAUCAAACAAGCUAAAUAGUCCGUAGGAGUUUUUUAAGAUUAAAAUAAAAAAAAAAUCAAAAAUCCAAAUCACAUAUAUGCAUGUUUGGGGGGUUUUUAUUUAUUUCAAUUUUGUUUUUUUGGAGAGAACAAGCUCGUGAAACAACAUGGACUCCUCUUUCUUGAAACCCAUGGCAUGUGACUAGUGACCAAGCCAAAAAAACCUAAGAAUGCAAAGAUCUAAAGUCGAAAGAGAACCAUUAUUGAACAAACACAAACAUAUUUCUCUUGAAGGACCUAUUUUAGAGAGACCUCUGUAAGUUGAGAGAGAGAAUUUUAUUCAUCAGAUAGACCGCUGUAAAGCCUCAGAUUUAAAAAACCAGAAGUAUGCAAAGAAAAUGAAAAAGGAAAAAAGAAAGCAAUCCCAUUUACAGAUAGAAUGCGAGAUGCACAGAACUACAGAGUCCUCUAAUGAAUCCAGAUUCUAAUUUAAAGUUCUCAGAAAUCUAAAAGUACACAUGAGACUUAGAGAAAGAAACCUCAAUCAAAGAUUUUACUUACCUGAAUCCCUUGAGCUUGAACUUCGAAUGGCACCCAAAAUCAUUCAAUGUGCAAUAAAAAAACUUAACCUUGGUGAAGGAAACAAAUAAACCUGAAUUUGUUUCUGCAGUUCAAACCCAAAAAUGGUUUUGUUGUGAGUAAAGAGAGAGGUGAGUGCUGGUUUUGUCAUGGGCAGAGAGGUGGAGGCGAGAGAGGAUGGGGCUUGUGGGUUUUAUCUCUGGUUGAGCCAGGAGCUGGAGAAGGAAUAACUAAGAGAGAUGCCAACCGGAAGACCCGGUUUCGCAUAUUAGGGAGUUUGCAAGAUCUGCACCGUCCAAAUACAUAGACGGUGCAGAUGGUUGUAGUCCAAAGUCAAUAUAAAUAGGGCUGCAGCGCUA